AACGCGAAGAACCUUACCAGGGUUUGACAUGCAUGCGACAUCCCUUGAAAGAGGGCUCCCUUCGGGGCGCAUGCACAGGUGCUGCAUGGCUGUCGUCAGCUCGUGCCGUGAGGUGUCGGGUUAAGUCCUCUAACGAGCGCAACCCCUAUGGCUAGUUGAAUCUUUCUAGUCAGACUGCCACCACAAAGUGGAGGAAGGUGGGGAUGACGUCAAGUCAGCACGGCCCUUACAUCCUGGGCGACACACACGCUACAAUGGUCGGUACAAAGGGAGGCCAACCCGCGAGGGGGAGCCAAUCUUCAAAACCGGUCUCAGUUCGGAUUGUAGGCUGCAACCCGCCUGCAUGAAGCUGGAGUUGCUAGUAACCGUGAGUCAGCACAUCACGGUGAAUACGUUCCCGGGCCUUGUACACACCGGUAUCUC
rnacentral:rRNA from 1 species